rnacentral:rRNA from 1 species
UACAGAGGGGGCAAGCGUUGUUCGGAAUUACUGGGCGUAAAGGGCGCGUAGGCGGCCUUCUAAGUCGAACGUGAAAUCCCCGGGGCUCAACCUGGGAACUGCGUCUGAUACUGGACGGCUUGAGUAUGGGAGAGGGAUGUAGAAUUCCAGGUGUAGCGGUGAAAUGCGUAGAUAUCUGGAGGAAUACCGGUGGCGAAGGCGGCAUCCUGGACCAUUACUGACGCUGAUGGCGCGAAAAGCUAGGGGAGCAAAC